rnacentral:tRNA from 1 species
UCACUAGAAAGCUAAACUUGGACCACAGCGUUGGCCUUUUAAGCCAAAGAUUGGUGCUUCCCGACCACCUCUAGUGAA